CCUACGGGAGGCAGCAGUAGGGAAUAUUGCUCAAUGGGGGAAACCCUGAAGCAGCAACGCCGCGUGGAGGAUGAAGGUUUUCGGAUUGUAAACCCCUUUUGUUAGAGAAGAUAAUGACGGUAUCUAACGAAUAAGCACCGGCUAACUCCGUGCCAGCAGCCGCGGUAAUACGGAGGGUGCAAGCGUUACUCGGAAUAACUGGGCGUAAAGAGCGCGUAGGCGGGAUGGCAAGUCAGAUGUGAAAUCCUAUGGCUUAACCAUAGAACUGCAGUGGAAACUGUUAUUCUAGGGUAUGGAAGAGUUAGGUGAAAUUCUUGGUGUAGGGGUAAAAGCCG
rnacentral:rRNA from 1 species